ensembl:lncRNA
GUUGUGGUUUUAAAGAGAGGACAUAAAUACUCAUCAGGAAGAAGCUCUGCACCUCAGAAAGUGGUGAGUUCAUCACACUCACUCACUCCCAGCAACACAACCUUCUCACAACUGGAACCAGUUAAAUGCAAAGGUUGUUUGAUGGAUUGAUAAUGAAGAAGCAGCUGUAGGACAAAGCGGGGACACAUCUGGCCUGUUCCAAAGACGUAGAACCCCCGACUGGUACCGAUGAAGAUCACUCGUUAAGGUCUUAGAUCGAUGAAAUAUACAUUGUGUAGUGAGACCACAUGUUCCUGGGAGGUUUGGUGAGCAGCUAGCUAACUAGCCUGGUGGAAUAAGUUAAUGCUACUCUGGUCACAGGAGACCUUCUCAAUGGGAGCAGAUGAAGUGUUGAGGUGAGGAUUUUCACUGAUAGACUCUGGACUUUCUGGUCUACUUUCUGUUCCUCCUGGUGCACCAUCAUAAGGUGCUGGUGCCCCCACAUGGAAAAGUUAGUCUGGAGCUCUUUCUUGUGUGUUUACAAACCACAGAAAGAAGCUUAGAAGGUUAGAAGGUUGGUUCUCUGGCUGAAGGAUGAGCAGUCUGAGAAGUCCGCUUUCCUUCUGCACAUAUCGCUUCCACACUAUAAAUUCACCAUUUCAUCAGUGUGACAGAGUUAAAGAAACAUGAAACAUGUCCUUUAGAGAGUCAGAAACAGGAGGAGGAGAUGCUCCUGAGCUAGAUGUUACCUGCUGGGAUCACCG